rnacentral:lncRNA from 1 species
CAGGGGAUUGCAGUGGCAAAGCUAGGCUAGGUCUUGGAGGCUGGUGUAAGGCGAUGUGGGUGAAGGCAGGAGGCUGAUGGAAAGACUGGGGGGAAGAAAAGCCGAAAUGGAUUCACGGUGCCUUGGAUGAAGGACGAGAGGGGAACUGCAAGCUCCUUCAACUGGUUCUGUCCGGUGAGAAGUGAUCAAGCUUGGGCUGACAAGAGGCUCAGGGAGCCCUCACGUUCUUUCGCUUUUUUACCUGCCAAUCAAACUGCUACAAGACAACACCCUGAUCUGGCAUGGACAUCGCGGGUCCAAGCCUGUAGCCCCAAAUCGGAUAAUCUCUGCAGCUGAUAACAAGCAAAAGAGAAGCCAGGCAACAGCCAUAUUAAAGAAGAAAACAAUCAACUCUGAGUCAUUGCAGUCACCUGGAGUCACGGAAAUGACCAUGAUUGCCUGAACUUUCAUGACUUCUGUGGAUAACUGUGGUUGCAGAAAAGAGAAAACCUGGACCGUGAGGGACAUUUCACUCCCUGGGCUUUGGUACAUGGCCUCCCUACAGCGUUGGCUCAGCUCUAGCUACUUGGAAGGUCGUGGCAAUGCUGUCUCAGAAUGUCCGUUUCUAGAGUACAGAGAAGAAAUUCUAGCUUGACGUCCACGUGCAUUUGUCUGUGUUUCAGAGGAAAUUCCAAUUCUAAACUCUUGGAAGAAACAAUUUCUCGGCAUGCUGAAGAGAAUUGCUGUUUUUUGGCACCUGAAACACUUUUACCCAAGGGUUCUGAUUAUUUAAAUAAUUGGUAUGCUAUAAAU